GGUAUGGUGGUGCAGUGGGUAGCACUGCUGUCUCGCAAUAAGGAGAUUCUGGGUUUGAGCCCUUGCUGGUUUG